rnacentral:rRNA from 1 species
AAUUUUGGACAAUGGAGGAAACUCUGAUGCAGCGACGCCGCGUGAGUGAAGAAGGUCUUCGGAUCGUAAAACUCUGUCCUUGGUGACGAAAAAAAUGACGGUAGCCAAGGAGGAAGCCCCGGCUAACUACGUGCCAGCAGCCGCGGUAAUACGUAGGGGGCGAGCGUUGUCCGGAUUUACUGGGCGUAAAGGGUGAGUAGGCGGUUAUACGUGUCAGAUGUAAAAGGCUAAGGCUUAACCAUAGUUAGCAUUUGAAACUGUAUGACUUGAGUGCAGGAGAGGUAAGUGGAAUUCCUAGUGUAGCGGUGAAAUGCGUAGAUAUUAGGAGGAACACCAGUGGCGAAGGCGACUUACUGGACUGUAACUGACGCUGAGUCACGAAAGCGUGGGUAGCAAACAGG